AAGGGCACCACAAGAACGCGUGGAGCAUGUGGCUUAAUUUGACUCAACGCGGGAAAUCUUACCGGGUCCGGACACACUGAGGAUUGACAGACAAAUACACACACUUUUACGGUGUGUGCAUGAAAUAUGCUAGUUCUUUCAUGAUUAUGUGAUAGGUGGUGCAUGGCCGUUCUUAGUUCGUGGAGUGAUCUGUCUGCUUAAUUGCGUUUCACUAAAGGCACAUACACAUAAUAUUGAUGUGUUGUGUGUAUAAUUUAUAAUUAUACGCAUACACACAUAUUAUAUUGUGCUUUGAAAGCAACGAACGUGACCGCAACCUCUUGUUGCCUGUAUAUAUGUGUAUUUUAUACACACCACAGGCUAUUAUAAACUAGAGGGACCGCUGUUACUUUCUUUUAAACCAGAGGAAGGUUGCGGCAAUAACAGGUCUGUGAUGCCCUUAGAUGUUCCGGGCUGCACACGUGCUACAAUGAUCAUUGCAGUGCGCAUCUCAUUUUGUUAUACACUGCUUGUGCGUAUGUGCAUCACAAUAUUUAUAUGUGUGUGUGUAUGUAUUGCACGCAGUAAAGCCUACUUCGAAAGUUGUGGGUAAUCAAUUUGAAGUAAUGAUUUCUCCAAAUAUAUACUGCACACUCAUAUACAGUGUCUUAUGUCCAUGAAAAUAUUUUAUUUUUGUGUGUGCAUUCGAUGCUCGUAUGUGCAAUUGUCAAUUCAUGGUGGGGACAGACCAUUGUUAAUUGUUGGUCUCGGUCUUAACUAGGAAUGCCUUGUACGGGUCUUUGGUUCAACAAACCACCCGGAAUACGUCCCUGCCCUUUGUACACACCGCCCGUCGCUCUUACCGAUGGACUUCUCUGUGAGUUUGAGGGACUGGAUUUUAUAUCUAUGGAAACUCAAACGAACAGUGUGGUCUAAAGGAAAGAGAAGUCGUAACAAGGCAUCCGUAGGUGAACCU
rnacentral:rRNA from 1 species